rnacentral:misc_RNA from 1 species
CCGUAACGCUCGCUCGCUCGGACGGCUCGCCCGCCGACGCGACGCAGCAGUGCAAACGAGUGAGUCACAAACGCGGGAUUCGAACGGCCGCGGUUCAUCAAACGUCCGGUCCCGAAAGGACCGGACUGCGGUCGACAGAAGAAGAAGGGCGCGGCGUCCUCGACGCCGCGGUGGAAUCGAUCGGCGGGCUUUUACCAGUGUCUACACGCAGUGGGUACCUGUCCCGUUCGCCGCCUGUACGGCGGCGGCGGGGAGAGCAUAGGCGGUCGGCGAUCGUCGUCGGACAUCCGAUGUCCGGGGGCGUCGUACGCCGUCGUCUAUGCGAGGUUCAAAGAGCCGCGCCAACCGUUCGCUUCGUCCGCCGACGAGCGGCGGCCGCCCCGCGUCGUUUUUUUUCAUAUAUUUUCAAGACACCGAACGUGGUGAACGUUGCCAGUCUGGCCGUUGCCGCUGCGGCGGCUCGGUCGACCGUCUUCGCCGGAGAGGACGAACGUGGAAA